GGGGUUGUGGCUCAGUGGUAGAGUGUUGGCCUAGUACACCUGAGGCAUUGGGUUUGAUCCCCAGCACCA
rnacentral:tRNA from 1 species